UACGUAGGGACCAAGCGUUGUUCGGAUUUACUGGGCGUAAAGGGCGCGUAGGCGGUCAGCACAAGUCAGUUGUGAAAUCUCCGAGCUUAACUCGGAAAGGUCAACUGAUACUGUGCGACUAGAGUGCGGAAGGGGCAACUGGAAUUCCUGGUGUAGCGGUGGAAUGCGCAGAUAUCAGGAAGAACACCCGUGGCGAAGGCGGCUCUCUGGGACGGUACUGACGGCUGAGACGCGAAAGCGUGGGGAGCGAACAGG
rnacentral:rRNA from 1 species